AAUAGAUACCCAGGUAGUCCUAGCUGUAAACGAUGAGCACUGGGUUGAGGGGACUUCCACAUCCUCUCGGCCGUAGCGAAAGCGUUAAGUGCUCCGCCUGGGGAGUAUGGCCGCAAGGCUGAAACUCAAAGGAAUUGACGGGGGCUCACACAAGCGGUGGAGGAUGUGGCUUAAUUCGAGGCUACGCGAAGAACCUUAUCCUAGAUUUGACAUGGUUGAGAAUCUCCUUGAAAGAGGAGAGUGCCCUUCGGGGAGCUCUUUCACAGGUGCUGCAUGGCUGUCGUCAGCUCGUGUCGUGAGAUGUUGGGUUAAGUCCCUUAACGAGCGAAACCCUUAUCUUUAGUUGCCAGCGGGUCAAGCCGGGGACUCUAAAGAGACUGCCGGUGUCAAACCGGGAGGAAGGUGGGGAUGACGUCAAGUCCCCAUGGCCUUUAUGUCUAGGGCUGCACACGUCCUACAAUGGCACGUACAAAGGGAAGCCAAGCCGCGAGGCCGCGCUAAUCCCAAAAAGCGUGCCCCAGUUCGGAUUGCAGG
rnacentral:rRNA from 1 species